AAUCUUCCACAAUGGACGAAAGUCUGAUGGAGCAACGCCGCGUGAGUUAAGAAGGUUUUCGGCUCGAAAGGUUCUGUUGUGAGGGAAGAACAAGUACCGGAGUCACUGGCUGUACCUUGACGGUACCCCACCCGAACGCCCCGGCUAACUUCGUGCCUACAUCCGCGGUAACACGUAGGUGGCAAGCGUUGUCCGGCAUUAUUGGGCGUCAAGGGCGCGCAGGCGGUCCUAUAAGUCUGAUGUGAAAGCCCACGGCUCAACCGUGGAGGGUCAUUGGAAACUGGAGGACUUGAGUACAGAAGAGGAAAGCGGAAUUCCACGUGUAGCGGUGAAAUGCGUAGAGAUGUGGAGGAACACCAGUGGCGAAGGCGGCUUUCUGGGCUGUAACUGACGCUGAGGCGCGAAAGCGUUGGGAGCAAA
rnacentral:rRNA from 1 species